rnacentral:sRNA from 1 species
CCUUCGAAUUAAAUUAAGAAAAUGUUCAGCGUCUGCAAGUGGUCCAUUCCACUUUAAAUGGAAAUUCUCAGCCAGCGUUUGCUCUUGCUGCUGCUCGUAGAAGAUAAUGGAAUCCCCACCUAUGGAUAUGUGAGUAUUUGUGAAUAAAGUAUCAACCUCGAUCUAUGAUGAUCGAUGGGACCACUGCCCCCAAUGGUACGCCAGCAACGAUUCUUCUGAUACUUCGGACCCGCAGCCACCGCCUCGACUAAUAAGAACAAUUUGCAAAGGCCGAGCCGGUGUACACAACCGUGACGACUGAUGAUCUGGCCAUAAUCGUAUGGGACAAUGUGACAAGUAAGCAAGAAAAGCUAUGCGCCUAAUUCGAACUAAAAUCGAUGUCAAUCAAUUGCAUUUGUGGAUGAUCAAUGGCCAUAUGGGCGAUUGAGUUUCGGUGUUAAAGACCCCAUUCGAAGCGAUUUCGAUUUAAUCUUGGAUUGGAUUUAGUUUUCUAACUUUCCUUGAUGAAAUCCAAUAUUAUUUAAUCAGCCAAAAUAUCUUCAACGGCUCAGGUA